CCUACGGGUGACAGCAGUGAGGAAUAUUGGUCAAUGGACGAGCGUCUGAACCAGCCAAGUAGCGUGAAGGAUGACUGCCCUAUGGGUUGUAAACUUCUUUUAUAUGGGAAUAAAACGUUCCACGUGUGGGAUUUUGUAUGUACCAUAUGAAUAAGGAUCGGCUAACUCCGUGCCAGCAGCCGCGGUAAUACGGAGGAUCCGAGCGUUAUCCGGAUUUAUUGGGUUUAAAGGGAGCGUAGGUGGAUUGUUAAGUCAGUUGUGAAAGUUUGCGGCUCAACCGUAAAAUUGCAGUUGAAACUGGCAGUCUUGAGUACAGUAGAGGUGGGCGGAAUUCGUGGUGUAGCGGUGAAAUGCUUAGAUAUCACGAAGAACUCCGAUUGCGAAGGCAGUUCACUGGACUGCAACUGACACUGAGGCUCGAAAGUGUGGGUAUCAAACAGGAUUAGAUACCCCUGUAGUC
rnacentral:rRNA from 1 species